UAAUAAACGUAUAUAAAUGAACGAUCCGCGAUGGAUUUAAUUUAGGGCUUGAAAAGUGCAGGAAGAGAGAGGAAGAAGGAAGCAAAGAGCAGAGGCAUGAACACCGCAGCAGGCAGAGACGACGCUGCUCCUCGGUCGAGCUCCGGCGCCGGGGCUGGAGCUUCCUGAGCGGAAGCGACGGCUGAGAAGAUAGCCACGACGGCGAGAACGAGCACGAUGGAGAUCUUGGAAGUGCCGGAAAUCGCCAUUGAAAGUGAAAGAAAUUACUUAAGAGAAGAAAAGGAAUGUGUGUGAAUUCUGG
rnacentral:misc_RNA from 1 species